UUCUGUGCUGCAGAAAAUCCGCUGUUUAGGAUCCUACUACACUCUUGGAGAAGCUUCAGUUUGUCAAUGGGAGCCCACAUGGGGAAGCUGUCUGAUCACUCCCUGGGAUUCACGCACAGAGCAGCCAGGAACAGGUUCUCCUCUACUCUGCCAUCUGGAUCCAGCCUUGUAAAUGGAAUAUCAUUAUUUUUUUUUUCUGGUAGAUGAUUAUUAAGGACAAGGAAAUGCAUCUGAUUUUCUCAGGUGGGUUUUGUCUCCUGAACUUUAACUGAGCUUGUUAAUUAGUUCUAACAGUUU
rnacentral:lncRNA from 1 species